rnacentral:rRNA from 1 species
UACGUAGGGUGCAAGCGUUGUCCGGAAUUAUUGGGCGUAAAGAGCUCGUAGGCGGUCUGUCGCGUCUGCUGUGAAAACUCAGGGCUUAACCCUGAGCUUGCAGUGGGUACGGGCAGACUAGAGUGCGGUAGGGGAGACUGGAAUUCCUGGUGUAGCGGUGAAAUGCGCAGAUAUCAGGAGGAACACCGGUGGCGAAGGCGGGUCUCUGGGCCGAUACUGACGCUGAGGAGCGAAAGCGUGGGGAGCAAACAGG